ensembl:lincRNA Gm29067 predicted gene 29067
AGAUGUCGGGCUGUUUUAAUCUUACUCAACUCUGAAGAAGCUGAGUGGCCUCUACAUGACCAGAACGCUUUGUUGGCUUCUCACAGGGAGAUGUGCAUGCGUGCGUGAGUGCGGUGUGCAUGUAUAAAAAAAGGCUCUUUUUUUUUUUUUUCUGAAAAGAGACGAGAAGGGCAGUGCGACCUCCAGAAGAGUGGAUGAUGCAUCUUUUCCCUCAGCCCCGUCUCACACGUUAUUUAUUAUAGCGGAGGCUGAGAAUCUAGGGCACUCUGGUCGCCUCCUCUUUCAUAUAUUCUCACCGCCUACCCUUGUCGGGGCUCACACUGACAAAUCCUCGUUGAUUGGAGUGGGGCUAAGACGAGUGGAUCUCUUCAAUUCUUGCCAGGAGAAGAAUCAUUGGAUUUGAAAUGAAUCUAGGGGAGAUGGUUCAGGAAGGCCUGCACAGGAGGUCGCAUGGGCUCCUCCAAGCUGGGGAUGC